AUCAAUUGAUCUAACGGCUGGAUCAAACCCUAUCCCUCUUUCCAUUUAAACCAAAAAAGAAAAUCCUAAUCCCUCACUUUUGGCCAAAGAAUCAGCCGCUCUUCACUACACUCUCUCUACAACUCUAUAGUUCUCUCUUCCCCCAUAAGCUGAUCGCCGGCACCGACGAGACCACCAUCGGGAAUAGCUCAUCGGAAAACUCCUCCACCCACUGCCGUCGUUGCCAUUUCCUUUCCAGCCGAACCAGCGAAGGAAGACACAUAAUGAAGAGAAUUCCACGCGUUAAAUUUCCUCAACGACACCCGAAACCUUCUUCUGCCAAGUGAUGCGGCAGUGGACCCAUUUCGUCCAUGGAUGCAAGGAGACCACGGGAUGAUAGUGAUCGUAAUGACAAUCGUUGAUUUCGUUGCAAAUUGUCUUGGAUAUUCAAUUAUAAUGAUGUAAUUGUAUGGUUGGAGCGAAUUUUCAAAUAUUGAAGGUUUUGUGUUUACAGUUGAUUUUGGAAUUUGAAGAUACUAGUUAAUGUUGAAAAUUUUAAGUUUGAAGAUGCUAAUGUUGAAAAUUUAAUUUUGAAGUUUAA